CUACGUGCCAGCAGCCGCGGUAAUACGUAGGGUGCGAGCGUUAAUCGGAAUUACUGGGCGUAAAGCGAGCGCAGGCGGUUACUUAAGCAGGAUGUGAAAUCCCCGGGCUCAACCUGGGAACUGCGUUCUGAACUGGGUGACUAGAGUGUGUCAGAGGGAGGUAGAAUUCCACGUGUAGCAGUGAAAUGCGUAGAGAUGUGGAGGAAUACCGAUGGCGAAGGCAGCCUCCUGGGAUAACACUGACGUUCAUGCUCGAAAGCGUGGGUAGCAAACAGGAUUAGAUACCCUGGUAGUCCACGCCCUAAACGAUGUCAAUUAGCUGUUGGGCAACUUGAUUGCUUAGUAGCGUAGCUAACGCGUGAAAUUGACCGCCUGGGGAGUACGGUCGCAAGAUUAAAACUCAAAGGAAUUGACGGGGGCCCGCACAAGCGGAGGAACAUGUGGUUUAAUUCGAUGAUACGCGAGGAACCUUACCCGGGCUUGAAUUGCAGAGGAAUUAUUUAGAGAUA
rnacentral:rRNA from 1 species